GUAGGUACGCCGAUAUCCGCGUUUUACGGAACCGAUAAAUGUGCUAAAAUUCUGUGCCACGCUUUUUGAAGUUCACAUUUGGAGAGAUUUUUUAAAUAUUAAACUAAUAUAUCUCAUGGUUAUUACUUAAUAUGGAAAUAUUUUGACUUGCAAAAUUCGUACCAGUUAUUCUGAGUGGCAAACAGGUACUGUUAUUGUAAGUGUCAAAGUGAGUGGUAAGGAUCAUUUAACUUUUUUUUUAGUGAUAUACAUAUUUAAGACAAAUAAACUUGGAAUCUAUUAUUUAAAUAUUAUUUUUUUGAUUUGUUUUACAUUUCUAAAUUUAUUAAGAAACUCAUCAGUUGUAACUAUUUAAUGCUUUAAUGGUAUAAUGGGUCGACACAUAUUUAAAGGAGAAUUCAAAAAACAUUUAAUUAGUAAUUUUACAUUGCCAUCU